AAAAUAAAAACAAAAACAAGAAAAGGCUGCAGGUGUAGCAGGAACACCGACACCGAGAGGUUCACUUAUUCUAGAUUUUUUGGCUCACAGAUCUCUCCAAAACACCAACAAACUCCAUGGCGAUUGUGUCUACUAGUUGCUUCCCAUGCAGAUAUGUCUUGUUUCCUGAGCAAUAUAUAAAGCAUUUGUAGUCAGAUGCCACGAACUUCUCCCAAUCCCGUGGCCCCAGCCUGAAGCUCAGCAUAGGGCUGGUUAGGUGUGGUGCAAAUUAGGAUCUUGAUUUGGCUAGACACAGUGAUCACUUGAGAGGCUCUUAAGAAACUGCAAAGCCCAAAUCCUGCCCAGCAGUUCUGACCAAAUGGGUCUAGCAUGGGGUUUACACAUCGGAUGUUUGGAAAAUGUUCUCUGGAUGGUUCUCAUGUGUCCCUGAUGCUGAAAACCAGUGAUCUGUAUCAUGGUUCAGGUUAAGUAAUCAGUUUUGCAUAUUCACUCGUUUUUUCCCCCCUAGAUUAUCCAGCCUAUCAGCCUGGGAUCUCAAGUUAUUGAAACCCAGGACAUAACAAACCUGAUUGAAAUAGCCAGGAGGCUAAGGCCUGGCUUUCCAUGAGGCUCAGUGGAAGAAACGCGUGGGUGACCAGGUCUUGCGCCAGAGGGUUUCCUGCUGAAGUUGCUUCACUUCAGCAACUCUUAUCGGCCCAUGAGGCCUUCCAGUUCUCUCCAUACAUCCUCAUUUGAUCUCUCAUUGCUUUGGGAGGAUUACGGAAACGACUGCUGUUUUAACCCACGGUCCAUUUACAAGGCAUCCUGGGCCAGGCUGUUUCUGCAGGGAGCUCAUCCCAUCCACGUUACCUGGAGGCUGUAGCACCUGCCAAGACCCAUAAGUUUCUUCUCCUUUUGGUGCCUUUCCUCCAACCUCCAGCAUGGAGAUCUUGAGUUCCCUUGUCAAAAAAAAAAAAGGUAAUCAGAAGACACCCCUAUUUAUAGUUGCUAAUAUGCUAGUCAUUUACUGUAUGCCUUGUUUUUGUUAAAGUGUUAUUUAACCCAAACUUGCACUGGAGGUCAGACUGAGAAAUGAGAGCCUUUGUCUUCCUCCAGGAAAACUGUUUGGAUCAGCAAGUAGGUGAGAAGGGGCUGCCAACCUCAGGCUCCCUCCCCGGGGAGUUAAACCUCAGGGGCCUCUUCCUUUGGGUGACACGGGGGCUCCCAGUGGCCCCUCCUGCCUGAGGGUCACCGGCAGACCUCCAGCCCAGACCCGCCAUCCUUCCCGUUUUCUUGCCCCCAUUAACCAGUUUCACCCACACAUAUAUAUUUCUUUUAAAAGGGUUUCAUUUCAGGAGGCCGAUGGGGCGCAGUGGUUAACGGCAGUGACUGUUAACUUUGCGGCAGGCACAUCUGGAUUUGAAUCCCUGUCGUGUGAGCUGGUGCAGGAUUUCUACCUCUCAACCUGGAUUUCCUUCUCUGAAAACUAGUGACACCAUUACUUACCUGAUUGCAUUGUUGAGAAAAUAUAUGUAAAACUUGAGCAUAGAGCUUGGCCCAGAUUUAGUGAUUGAUAAAUGGUAGCUGUUUUAAUAAUGAUUACUAUUAUGGUUAUCAAAUAGUUGUUAUAGUAUUGUAUUCUAGUCAUUAUAAAAUAUCUUAAAAUACAUUCACAAAAUGAAAAUCACCUAUAAUUCAACCACCUAGAUCUAUCAUUUCUGAUCUAUAGACACAUCUAAUAUAUUCUAGAAAGUUGAGAUUCCACCAGCAUUCCUUUUUUUUUCUUCCCUGUUGCGGAGCAGAGGCUCUGGACGCGCGCAGGCUCAGCGGCCAUGGCUCACGGGCCCAGCCACUCUGCGGCGUGUGGGAUCCUCCCGGACCGGGGCACGAACCCGCGUCCCCUGCAUCGGCAGAUGGACUCUCAACCACUGCGCCACCAGGGAAGCCCGCCAGCAUUACUUUUUAAAAAAAAUUUAUUGCAGUAUUGGUAUAGUUGAUUUACAAUGUUGUGUUAAUUUCUGCUGUACAGCAAAGUGACUCAUUUAUACAUAUAUAUAUUCUUUUUCAUAUUCUUUUCCGUAUGGUUUAUCACAGGAUAUUGAAUAUAGUUCCAUGUGCUAUACAGUAGGACCUUGUUGUUUAGCCAUUCUAUACGUAACAGUUUGCAUCUGCUAACCCCAAACUCCCAUUCCGUUCCUCCCCCACCCCUUUCCCCUUUGGCAACCACAAGUCUGUUCUCUAUAUCCCACCAGCUUUAUUUUAUGUGUAAUUCCCUUGUCGCCGUAUUCUGCUGUCAGCAGUACACCUCAUAUGUGGCACGUGACAGUGUCCAAAAGACGCACUUACCGCGGCAGUGACACCAUCUGGGUCCAGUGACUUCUGUGUCUCUGGCUUUUAUCCUUUUCCUCCUUAUUCCCUGGUGCUGAGUUUCUGACCACUCACUGUGGAGCUGGGUCAUCAGGUUGGGUCCCCUGCAUUGGCUAUUCGUCCAUGGAGGUGUUUUCUACUCUAUUUGUGCACCCAAAGGACGCCCUUGGAGCCGGUGCUCUGCCUCCCUCUUGUUCCGAGUGAGUAGGGUUCUCCCUGCACACCUCUGCCUGGCAGCCUUGUGCCUCCGCCUCCUUCUGGGUGUGGGUGUCUUUCCAGCUCCAGAAGCAGCAAUCUGGGGGGGCCCAGGCCAGGACGCUGAGUGGCUCGGGCCAGUUUCCUAAAGACCAAAGCAAAGAGAGAAUCCCCCUCAGCAGGCAGACAUGAAGGGGCUCAGGGAUCCCCCCGGAAGAGACCAGCCCCUGGAAGCAGAUGUAGGCCACGAGAGGCCAGUCCUGAGCCCACCCACCGCGUGCAGGGCCUCGGGAUCUGUACCUGAUGUGCUGUCUCUUCAGCUUAAGGGCUCGGAUGCCGGUUAAGUCAAGGACCACGGGAGGGGCUAUGCUUUGAGCCACCCAGCAAUCAUUGAUAAUCUAAUGGGGAUGGGGUGCAGAUUCUUUUCUGGAAGCAAGCUUGAUAAGGAUGAAGAGAACAGGCCACAAAAACUGGCCAACUGAGGGGGCGAGGAGGGCGGUGGAGGAAGGCCAGGGCCUCAAAUGUGGUCCCUCUGGUCCCGUCCAUCUUCCCUCUGGUGUGGCUGGACAAGUGCUCAGUCUGGGAGCUGAGGCAAGUCACUCUGUGGGGCUCAGGCCUCACCCAGUUAUACUAGAUCAAUAGUUCCUUCCUCCUUUAUUACAAAAACCCCGGAACCCUUUCCACAGUGAUGUAAGGUCUUGCUGAUUCUCCCGCAAGAGCAGGAGCCCUGUCCAAGUUUUCUGGGGUGGCUCCAGUGAAGCUGUUGGGGUCUUCCCUUGCUUUCAGGGAUGCAAAGAGGCCAAAAUCAAAAGUUUUUUUUUUGUUCUGGUGGUGUUUUUGGUGGUAUAUAAAAAGAGAAAUGACUUUAAGUGAAACUCUUUUGUUCUCGAUUAUAUUAUUAACAUAAUAAUUGUGUAUGAAGUCUGUAUUAGAAUUUUGAUGGUGCUCAUGAUACAUCUACCAGUUAGGAAUGCUUUUGGCUAGAACUCACAGAAUUCCUGACCAUCAGUAGCUUAAACCUAAAGGAUGUUCUUUAUUGUUUUCCAUCGAGAACGGGUCAGAUGGUCACAGCCAGACCUGCCAGGGGGAGUGGCUUGCGGAUGGGACGGGAGGCAGCUUACCCUGAAAUUGGGGAUUUCCGCCUCCCCCAUCUGCCCAAGCGAGGUGCAGGCAGCCGGAGAGAAACGGAGGGGCUGCAGGGCGGGCAGUGGGCCACGUCUCCACAUCCACUGAAACAGAUCUUCAGCUUUCGGUAUUUUACAGCUAACACAUGCUAUUUGAUUUACUUUGGUUAUGGAAGGGAAACAUGAAUUUUCGACAGGUGAGUUCAAGAAUGGCAUUGUAGGGACUUCCCUGGUGAUCCAGUGGUCAAGAUUCGGCACUUUCACUGCUGAGGGCGUGGGUUCCAUCGCUGGUCCCGGAACUAAGAUCCCGCAAGCCACUCAGCGAGGCCAAAAAUAAAAAAAAAAAGGCAUUGCACGACUGUACCCGUUCGGGUUGGAGACGGGACAUAUAAACCUCAUUGGUCUUGUCUGAGUGCAAAGCUUAAUAGCUUUCCCCACUCUUUUUGUAAUAAAAGACUAUGUCUCCUGAGAGGGGUUUGUUGAACAACUGUGUUAUCCGUAAAGGAUGCCAUGGCAGAGACUGCAAGCAUUCCCCCAACAUCCACGGGCCCCCCUUUCUGAGCAGCAGAAUCCUGGGCAUUUGGUCCAGAUAAAAGACUGAGCUUCCCUCCUGACUUUGCGGCCAGUGUGGAAACCACGUUCUGGCCAGUGAGGUGACGGGGAGGAGUUCCAAGACUUCUGCAGAGUGUUUUUGUUUUUGAUUUUUUUAAAUAUUUACUUACUUAUUUGGUUGCACCAGGUCUUAGUUGUGGCAGGCAGGCUCCUUAGUUGUGGCAUGCAAACUCUUAGUUGCGGCAUGCAUGUGGGAUCUUGUUCCCUGACCGGGGACCAAACCUGGGCCCCCUGCAUUGGGAGCACAGAGUCUUAACCACUGCACACCAGGGAAGUCCCCUGCAGAGUGUUUGAAAAGUAAAAAGCCAAGCAUCCUUUAUGCCAGUAUAUUUUGCUCUACAUAACUUUAUAAUAUUUAAAUAGUGUAAUAUGUACAACAUAGCGUAUGUUACACUGUUUAAUAUAGUGUAAUACAUAUGACAUGGCUUAUGUUACACCAUUUAAAAUAUAGUAAAUGAGGAGAGAAAUGUUAGGCAACUAUUCUAGGCUGCUUCUCUACAAAUUACCUGUUUCCUGUGUGGCAGGACUUUUCUUUUCUUUUUUUUUUUUUUUGGCCAAGCCACGUGGCUUGUGGGAUCUUAGUUCCCUGAGCAGGGAUCAAACCCAGGCCCUUGGCAGUGAAAGCUUGGAGUCCUAACCACUGGACCGCCAGGGAAUUCCCAUGUGGCAGGUCUUUUGUUGCCAACAAGUGAAAAGUUAAAUUAAAUGUAAUUGCCAUUAUACAUUAUCUUUCAACAUUAGGUUUUGAAAUAUGAGAGAUGCCGUGAUUUGAUCAGAUGCGUGCAAAUUCCAACCCUGAGGAAGAGCCUCUUGAAGUGAAUGUGCAGAAUUACUACCAUUUUAGGUGCUCCAUGAACUUAAAAUUUUUUUACUACCAUUUUAGGUGCUUCAUGAACUUAAAAUUUUUUUUGAGUUUUGUUUUUUGUUUUGAAAUAAUUUCAGACUUACAGGAAAGUUGCAAAAAUAGCACAAAGCCUUCCAAGAUAGCCUUUAUCCAGAUUUUGCAAAUGUUAACAUUUACCCUAUUUGAUUUCUGCUUCUCCCUUUUUCUCUCUCUUUCCCUCACUCCUCUGCCUGUCUGUCUCUCUCUCCAUCCAUCCACCCAUCUGUACAUCCAUCCAUCCACCCUACCCACCCUAGGUGUGCCAUGUAAGUGGAAUCAUACAGUAUUUGUUCUUUUAUGACUGGUUUAUUUCACUCAACAUAAUGUCCCCACAGUUCAUGCAUGUUGUAGCAGACGUCAGAAUUUCCUUCCUUUUUACAGGCUGAAUAAUAUUCCACUGCGGAUAGACCAUAUUCUGUGUAUCCAUUCAUCUGUGGAUGGACAUUUGGGUUGUUUCCACCUCUUGGCUACCGUGAAUAAUGCUGUUUUGAACAUGGGUGUGCAAGUAACUCCUCAGGAUCCAGGCCAUUUCUUUCUUAGAAUAUCCCCCUAUCUGGGUUUGUUUGUGUCUUCUUUAUGAUUAGAUACAGCCUCUACAUUUUUGGCAGGAACACCCGGGGAGGAGUGCCGUGUCCUCGGGUAGGUCUUUGUGUGGUAGGUCUUAGUCUUAUUCCUGCCCAUGUUCACUUUGAUCCCUUGUGUAGGAUGGCGUCUGCCAGCUUCCUCUACUGUGAGGUUUCUAUUCCUCCUCUGUAAUUAAUAAGUGUCUUGUGGGGAGAUACUCUGAGAUGCUGCAACUAUCCCAUUUCUUGUCAAACUUUCAGCCACUCGAUGACUCUUAUCUGAAAUAAUUAUUACCAAGUAGUGCCUUACAAAUUCAUCAUUGCUUUUACGCUUAUUUGUUGGUGUUCUGUGUAAAGAGAUGCUCUUUCAUCUCCUGCACCCAUUCAUUCAUUCGUUUUAUUUACAGAUGAAUGGAUUUGGGGAUUCUCAUUUUACUCAGGGUUAUAAUCUAUUACUAUUAUUCAUUUUGUUGCCCAACUUGUACCAGAUUUGACCCGUGGAAUGCCUUAAAGUAGGCCUUUGUGUCUUUUUUGACAUCUCCUUAUCAUUUUCUCAUGAAGUCGCAUGUCAACGUCAAUGAUUCUUGUGGUUCCCAUCUUUACACAGUCAUCCCUACAGGGUAUACAUCAAAUACCAAAUAACUGAGACUAAGUUCGUCUAAAGCUGUACCGUGGCCAAAGCCCUCAGAGCGGCUGCCGAUAGUUCAUCUGAGCAAUAAGCCAGCCAAGCCUCAAGAGCACACUCAUCUUGCGCCCUAACUUCCGUGAACACCGUACACGCUCGGAUGCUCUCAAGCUGUUUUAUUUUGGGCAUGUGUGUUGGUUGGGUCCUCGGGGAAGCAGACAGGAGUCAGAAGUGCAAGAGAUUUAUUGGGGGUAGUGCUUGAGAAAAAUAAAGGGAGAGGGUUGCAGGCCUGAUACCUGUGAACGGCGAGCUGGGGGGGUUGCGGGAAAAGGUGGAGGGCAUCUCUGAGAAGUCUCUGCCAGCCCCGGUGGGGAGCCUCAGUGCAGAGCUUGCCCGUUGUGGGCAGAAACAGCCAGGCCCUGGUGCCCUGCUGGGCUCAGUCCUUACCUGGGAGCUGCCGGGAGGGACGUGGCCUGGGCUCCGAGGCCACCACGGAUUCUGAAGUGCUGUGGCUGGAGACUCAUUUAACUGCACCCCUCAUAGCUGAUGAGCAAGUUCUUUCUUAAAGGGAGACCGGAGGGGCAUACCUCUAAGGCUGCCGUAGGAAAAAUAUUUAAAGAUUGUGUUUGUUGAUUCAAACAUGAGAAAGUUGAAACAGAACUAAUUUCUACACGGGGGGUGAACAUCCUCUUGGGGUCCCACACGUUUGUCAUUCCCUGAGAUUUCAAUCAUCACUAGAUGGGAAACGCUGGUCUAGGUGUCUAACUCCGUUCUCGUCUGGGGUUUCGAGCUGGCGUCUCUGAUUGGUUCAGAGGGGCCGUAAUGGUCUCAGUUGCCCCAACGGGUGACUAGAAAGAAUGAGUCGUCAGCCGGGAUCACCGGGGGGCUAUUGUAUUCCAAGGGGCUUGUCAGAGUAAUUUUCCACCCAGUCUGUGGCUCCUGGCCCCUUGGCUACCCAGGCUGAGCAGAUGUGUGAUUAAAUGCUGGGUCAGCAGCUUAGUAUCGUGGUUCACGAUUCACUUAGUAUCGUGGCUCUAGACUUAAAGACUUUACAACGGAAAAGGACCCCUGAGAUCAUGAGGUCGUUCCACACUUCAGGUGUACAGAAGUGCCCUGCCCCAAGUCACCAAGUUGAUGAGCUGGGCCGGGGGCUCACAAUGGGGCAGGCGCUGUGUCAUCGUUCUGUCCCAUCAUGGUCCCCCGUAGCCUCCAGCCCGCAAUCGGGCUUCCGCUCCCGGGAGCAACACAAUGCAAGUCAGCUCCCCUGUAUUGGUACCUGUUUAUCAUUUUAUCUCAUCAUCUUGUUCUUUAUCUCACAUCUAGUUCUUUAGCUGUUCCUCACAGAGUGGCUUCCAGAUGGCUGGGGCCUUCUGAUUGCCUUCCUCUGGACGUGUCUGAGUUCGUUACCGUUCCCUUAAAAGGCGUCUCCCAGAACCGGACACACGCUCAGCGUGGUCUUAGCACGGCGAUUACAGACCCCCCGCCCCUCUAACUUGAACGUUAGGCAUAAGCACGGCCCAGCUGCUGUAGGCUUUCCAACAUCUACUCAGUGCUGUUUCAUAAAACCUGCAUUUAAACUUUUUUUUGGCUUGAUUUGGCUCUAUUUUUAGAAUGUUUUCCACCGGGAGAAGGCAGAAGUCCAAGGGGGAACAGAGAGGGGAAAGAUGUCAGCUCUGAUUCGGCAACUGCAGAGCUGCACGCGCCAUGGGGCGUAAGCAGGCUUGCGACACAGCCUGCUCCCCACUUUCUCAACCUCGGCUCCUGGUGCGUCGCCCUGGGCGCUCACCACACAGCAGAAGGUGGCUGCCUGUCAGUUCUGUCCUCACCAGGGUCCUGGGUCGGGAACCUCGGUUGUUUUGACUUCGGCUCUUCUCCGUGUGCGUGUGUGUGUGUGUGUGUGUGUGUGUGUGUGUGUGUUGAGGAAAUCAAGGGCUGGAGACCAGGUCAUGUGUGUGUGUGUGUGUGUGUGUGUGUGUGUGUGUGUGUGUGUGUGUAUGUGUGUGUGUGUGUUGAGGAAACCAAGGGCUGGAGACCAGGUCGUGUGUGUGUGUGUGUGUGUGUGUGUGUUGAGGAAACCAAGGGCUGGAGACCAGGUCAUGUGUGUGUGUUUGUGUGUGUGUGUUUGUGUGUGUGUGUGUGUGUGUGUGUGUGUGUGUGUGUGUUGAGGAAACCAAGGGCUGGAGACCGGGUUGUGUGUGUGUGUGUGUGUGUGUGUGUGUGUGUGUUGAGGAAACCAAGGGCUGGAGACCAGGUCGUGGAGCCUCGAGGAGAAGAAGUCUGCUAACACGCCUCUGCCACCGCCUCGGGGUGGGCCUGGAUGAUUCAGAAAAUGCUAAUCUUCAUGUAUGUGUUGAGUACUGGAGUGUUUGCAUGAGCACUUUUAGUGGUACCUGAUUUGACCCCCUUCCCCACCUCGCAAGGUGCACAGGCAGUGAUUAUCCUGAUUUUCCAGAUGAGCCAGCUGCUCACCAGGGCGAGUGGCUCUCUGUCCCUCUCUGAGCCCUGGGUUCCCUGAGUGGUUACGGAGGCUACUUCCAGCCCAUGAUGUGAGCCAUAUAGCAUCACUGCAAAUACAUUUUUCCUUCAUCCAACAUACUGAAGAUGUCCCAUGUGCCUGACAUGAUGGCAGGCUCUGGUGAUACACAGAUGAACAGCUGUCUGUGUUUUAAGUGCUUAUAGUCUAGUAAUUGCAACCCAGUUUCUAUUUGCAUUUCAUUGAGAGCAAUUAGAAUCCUUGGAGAAGUGGAGGAGAUGCUUCCAGACCAUCUAGAGGGCUCAUGGGCAGAGGAGGGAACUUGGGUCCAGAGAGGGCAAUCCCGUGACCUGGUACAGACAGGGUCAGGGCGGGGUCCAGGCUCCCAGCCCUAGCCCACACCCCGCCCCACCCUGCAGUCUCUUCCGUGCCCCCCACUCCCGCUGAAUAAGCUUUGGAGACCAGACAGGGCUGGUUUGCAUAGUUGAGGAUCCAAACCUGGGUUAUCCAUAGGUUCCCUAGAAUUGCUUUUUGCCAGUCAUUUCAAGAGCCUGGCUGUGGUAUUAGCAGUAAGUGUUAUGGUGUCAGUCAGCAUUCACUCCUCCCUAGAACCUGAUUCCUUUCACAUCAUGGGGCCAGUCCACUCUUGCUCUGCUGUGUGCCGUGGAAGGCUGUGUUCAUGCUGCUUUAAAGCCUAGGAGUGGGCUUCUGAGCCUGAAGAGUGCCUGUCUCAUGGGGACACGACAGCUGCUCACACAGGUUGGAGGGUGGGCAUCUGCCCUGGAGGAGGGGGCAGGUGGCAGAGAGAGAACUGAGGAAAGUUGCAGGAAGGGACAUUUGUCUGUCUGGCCAGCAACCCAUCUAAUAAUAGAAUGACUAGGCUGAAGCCACAGGUUCAAGCUGAGGCUUUGCGGGAGGGCCGUCAGAGUUCUAGACUGGGGUUUCUAGAUGCGGUGUGGAAAUAGCCUAGGGAGCAUGCAGGGUGUGGAGGGCGGGGAGGUAAGCUUUUCCAGCAGCAGAAGAAGGCGCCAGGUGCGGGCGGUGGAGCGGCUGGGAGCCUGACCCUCUCUCCUGGCUCCACCUUCGCCUCCCGGCUAAAAUCAUCCUUUAGCCGGGAGAUUGUUUAGCUAAACACUGGGGUUCUGCUGCUAAGGAUGAUGGGAAGAGUGGCUACUGGGGUGAGUGAUGGCUAAUUUUAUGUGUCAACCUGACUGGGCCAAGGGGUGCCCAGGUAGCUGGUAAAACAUGAUUUCUGGGUGUGUGUGCGUGGAUGUUUCUGGAGAGACUGCCUCUGAUUCAGUGGACUGAGUAAAGCAUAUGGUCCUCCCCAAAGCGGUGUGCACCAUCCUGUCCGGUGAGGGCCUGGAUGGAACAGAAGCAUGGAGGAAGGGCAAACUCGCUCUCUCGGCAUGAGUUGGGGUGUCCAUCCUCUUCUGUCCUUGGACAUCGGACCUCGGAGCUCCUGGUUAUCAGGCCUUCAGAUUCUGAGUGAAUCCCACCUGAUUUCCUGGGUCUCCAGCCUGCAGACGGCAGAUAGUGGGACCUCUUAGCCUCCAAAACCAUAUAAUGAGUUUCCUUUUGUACAUACAUACAUAUUUCUCAGGAGAACCCUGACUAUUACAGGAAGUAAUGGAACCUCCCAGCUAUGUGAUGGAUUUCACUGAGCAGGGUGGAGUGGGGGAAGGAAUUGGGGAACCUGUUUUCUAGCUUAGAUGGCUGAGAGUUCAGGGAGAGGUGCAGGUUCUGGAGAAAGCUGAAGGCUCGCUUUGCACAGAGCUCUUGGCUACAAAAUCAUGAUCCCACUGUGUGCCAGGGCUCUGCUGUGCACUCUUCUUAGGAAAACCCCAUUGUAUAUGGUGGGCAUUGUCCCCAAUGCAUUGUUGAGCAAAGCCACUCUUGUACAGCAGGUCACACCCGCCUGAUGUGAAAUGAACAUGAUGUGAAAUGAUUUUGUUUGGUCUCCUCCCCUCUCCUCCUUCCCCACACCUUGUGUUGUUGAUAACGAGGGGCCUGGGUUAAGGAGCAAAGUGGGGGAAGGCUGCCAGUCGGCAGGUGCAGACCGGGCUGUGGAUGCAGAGGUCUGGGCUGACCGUGUCUUUUCUGUUUUUCUCUGGUCUCUCGAAUUUGUUUUUUCCUGGUCUUUCUAGCAUCCUCUUCCCCUCUGUCUUGUUAACCACCCUGUCCUAACUUGAACAGGUUUAAUAUCUUCAUGUUUCAGAUCGCUCUCUGUCUUCCCUCAUCCGCUGUCUUUUUUUUUUAAUUGAGGUGAAAUUCACAUAACAUAAAAUGAACCAUUUUAAAGCACACAAUUCAGUGGUAUUUAGUACAGUCACAGCGCUGUGCAACCCUUGCCUCUCUCCAAUUCCAAAACGUGUUCAUCACUUGGAAAGGAAGCCCCACCCCCAGGGAGCAGCCCCCCCUGUUCUCAGCGGCCCCUGGCAAGCACUAAUCUGCCUUCUGUCUGUAUAGAUUUACCUAUUCCGGAUAUUUCCCAUUGAUGGAAUCACACAGUACAGAACCUUUUGUGUCUGGUUUCUUUUGCCUUGCAUAAUUGUAUUAGUUUGCUCCGGCUGCCAUGACAAAUACCACAGACUGGGUGGCUUACACAACAGACACUUAUUUUCUCAUGGUUCUGGAGGCUGGAAGUCCAAGAUGAGGUUGGGUUUCUCUCUCCUUGGCUUGCAGAUGCCUGGCUUUUUGCUGUGUCCUCACAGGACCUUUCCUCUGUGGGCAUACACACCUGGUAUGUCCAAAUUCCUCUUCUUUUUUUUUUUUUUGGCCAUGCCACACGGCUUGUGGGAUUUUAGUUCCCUGACCUGGGAUUGAACCUGGGCCCUCGUCAGUGAGAGCAUGGAGUCCUAACCACUGGACCCCAGGGAAUUUCCAAAUUCCUCUUCUUAUAGAGACACUAGUCAGAUUGGAUGAGGGUCCAUGCUAAUGGCCUCAUUUAAUUUAAUUACUUCUUUAAAAACUGUAUGUCCAAAUACAGUCACAUUCUGAGGUACUAGGGGUUAGGGCUUCAGCAUAUGAGUUCUAGGGGAACACAACUCAGUCCACACCCAUAAUGUCUUCAAGGUUUAUCCAUGUUGCAGUGUGUUUCAAUACCUCCUUCCUUUUCUUUUUAAAUUUUUAAAAAUUUUAUUUAUUUAUUUUUGGCUGCAUUGGAUCUUCGUUGCUGCGUGCAGGCUUUCUCUAGUUACGGCGAGCGGGGGCUACUCUUCGUUGUGGUGCGCGGGCUUCUUAUUGUGGUGGCUUCUCUUGUUGCGGAGCACAGGCUCUAGGCGCACGGAUUUCAGUAGUUGUGGCUCACGGGCUCUAGAGCGCAGCUCAGUAGUUGUGGCGCACGGGCUUAGCUGCUCUGCGGCAUGUGGGAUCUUCCUACACCAGGGCUCGAACCUGUGUCCCCUGCAUUGGCAGGCAGAUUCUUAACCACUGCGCCACCAUGGAAGUCCCUCUCCUUCCUUUUCACGACCGAAUAAUAUUCCACUGUAUGCAUGGACCACAUUUUGUCUUUCCAUUCAUCUCUUGAUGGACACUUGGGCUUUUGGUUCUUGCGAAAAAUGCUGCUACGCCCACUGCCUUUUUACAUAAAGGAGUUACUGGCACUGGGGGAUGGGUGGCAGAGGAGGGCCAGGUAGUAUGUGUCCACUGUCCCCAGGGAGCUAAGUGUCUGGGUGCUGAUUCAAAGUCCAGCCUUCUGUGUCAGGGCAGCACUGGCCCUCCUAAAGCUGGUAACAGGUAUUUGACAGGCAGUCGUGUUGUGAGCUUGCCUUGGGGCAGUGAAGAGCUGCUGGCUUGUUUGAGUCUUUAGUGGAUGUAAUCACUGUCCAGCUGUUUGCACACUCUCCCUGGCAUCUGUCUGGCCUCUUUAUCCACCGUGACUAAUGGCUGAGUGAUAGCUUUCUUACUGAUAAGGAAACAGCAAGAACUAUCAAAAAGAAUAACUCCAGAGUUGUCCAACUUAUCCUCAGUUUAUCUAGUGAUGUACUCUGAAGAUCUUUCACCUACUGAAAGUCAUGCAGCCCUUUUCUCAUGGCAGAGGUGGGUUUUUGCCUGUUUCUUUUCCAUCUGUGAUUCGGGAGAGAGGGUCGUGCAGGUCCUAGAAGACUCUCGGACAGGGGACGUCCGGAGUGGCUUAGUAGCUGCCAUGGUUUUCCCUGCUCCACAGUGAGUUUACCCAGAGCUGCUACAUCAGUUUAUCUGGGUCUUUCUUCACUUCUGGAUUGUUUCUUCGAUCUCUGUUUUGUGUUUGUGUCUAUAAAAUAUUGUCACUGGGAAACUUUUCUGACAAGAAACAAAGCCACAAGUGUUCUAGGGCAUAUAUCCUUGCUCACAAUGAAAACAAACCAGGUUGGUGUCAGAGAGGAACGGGUGGCCAGCCUUGUCUGUGUGGGGUACCUGUGCCCCAGUGUCUAGUCCUCAGAUUUUCUUCUUUAGAAGCUGGGUUUUAGCAGUGCAGCCAGAGAUGGUCAAGCCUAGGGAGACCAAGUCACAAACCAAAGUGGUGAGAGAAUGGUAGUUAAACUAGAUUGCCCACUUGGUACGUUUCUAGGAGGAUCAUGGCUGCUGGUCAGAAUAGAACAUUCAGGUCUGCUCGCCAGUGGGCUGUGAGGGCAGGUAAGCGGGAGUCAGAGGGAUUCUGUGCCUGGUGGGGCAGAGAAAAGAGCAUGUGGGUUCCUGUCAGGGCUGCUCCCAGAGCUAUGUAUCAGAAACGGAUACAUAGUUUCUCAGCAAAGUACCCAUUAAUUUAUCCUCACUGCACAGGGCAACUUUUUCAGGAUCUGAGGGCCCUUUACCACAACGUAGAGUGUGGUUACGGAUCCCAACAUCCAGUUAUGGGUUCCAGCACCCUGAUCUUUUUCUACCCCACCCCCGCCUCUUGUUUUAAAGCCUUGCAGAGGAGUUUUCCAGAAUAAAGGUUUCUGGCCUAGACUCCUCUUCUAGUUUUAUAGAAUAAAUGCUCUCUGGGGGAGGAGUGGAAGAGAUACUGUCUCCACACAGGGGCCUGUCUCUUGAGCUCCCCUUGACCCCAUCUUCCUUACAAACCCAGAGUGGAGAUCCUGGAGCUAACGGUUAUUUCAGGAUCCCAAGACCAUUACCUGCUUAUUAUAACCUGUUCUUAGCACCGUAACCAGACGCCAGUCUUUUUUUUUUUUUUUGCCACUGUGGCAUGUAGGAUCUUAGUUCCCCAACCAGGGAUCGAACCCGUGCCCCCUGCAUUGCGAGCGCGGAGUCUUAACCACUGGACCACCAGGGAAAGUCCCCAGAGGCCAGUCUUUAACCAAACAUGCAUUCUGUCAAGCAGUGUUGACGGAUACAUGCCACCAGCCCAGCUCUGUUCUAGGCCCCUCGGGAUGGAAACAGCUGUGAAAGCGAGGAAGGUCCCUCCCGUCCUCUUGCUCACCCUUCUCAGUGCCCUUUGGGGGACUUCCUCUUUCUCAGAACAGGAGUCAGUCGUCCUGAGGGUCCACAAGGUGCCCCCUGACUGCCCCUCCCCCUCCUCACUCUCCAGUCCUCUCUGUGCCACCCACCCAGCUCUUCCCUGAAUCCAGAUCCCACCCCAGCACCUCUGUCCGUGUUGUGUCUCCACUUGGACGCCUCGUACUCCAGAUACCUGGAAGGGCGACUGAAGAUGCAGGAUACAAAAUGGAACGUGGACCAUCUCGCCAGCUUGUUACAGCACGUGUUGAAGGGACAGCAUCUGGGCUGUGUGAGGCCAACUAGUAUCUAGUGCUGCUGGUAGCUUCUCCUGUUUCUUCGCACAACUGGAAAAUCUUAAGCCAAGGUUGCCGCUCCUACGCGCCGGUGCUGCGCUGCAGCUACGGUGAUGUCGUGCUGUUGACAGCCUGGCCGUAAAGAUGUAUUAUCAGCAAUAGAAAUUUGAAGCUUAUCGAAGAAUUUGAAUAGUGUCCGGGAAAUAAGAUCUUUCUUUUCUUCUUUCCCUUUGCUAAUCAAUUAGGACAUCUUUUUUUUUUUUUUUUUUGUGGUACGCGGGCCUCUCACUGUUGUGGCCUCUCCCGUUGCGGAGCACAGGCUCCGGACGCGCAGGCUCAGCAGCCAUGGCUCACGGGCCCAGCCACUCCGCGGCAUGUGGGAUCUUCCCGGACCGGGGCACUAACCCAUGUCCCCUGCAUCGGCAGGCGGACUCUCAACCACUGCGCCACCAGGGAAGCCCAAUUAGGACAUCUUAAAACCUUUGAGAAGUACACAGAAAGCCCAAGGCCUCCUCUACCUCUUUAAAAAAAAUUUUUAAAGCUGACUCAGUUUUAUUUCAUAAAAUAGUAAUUUCUUUUUAAAUUGGCUCAGCCGUGGUGUCGACCAUGAGCUUUUUCGGCAUCAGUAGGGGAGGCUGUCCCAGUGUGAGGGCUGGGACUCUUUGGGAGGCUGUCUCUCUGUCUUCAUAUCCUAAGUAGCACUUUACAUUGUAGGUUCAUUUGAAAGUUUUUAGUUAUUAAUCUUCAUAAUCGUUUCUUAAGACGAUUCUUAUUUCCUCAUUAUAUCCAAAUACUAAGUAAUUUAGACAUUGUCAUAGAAACCACUCGGAUCCAAAGUAUUAUUGUUGACUUUGUUAUUGAGAAGAAGACUGAAUGUUCUAGUUGGAAAGUAAUUUAAUUGCGUGACACUUGAAAGAGUACCAGCCUAGCCGGAGGUCUUGUUUUUUAUUCCUUUGCUUAUUAGCUGUGUGAUCACAGGGAAGUAAUGUAAUAUUUCUUAGCCUCAGUUUCAUUAACUCCAAGGGAAAAAGGUAGGGGCGCACACGCGCGUGUGUGUCUGUGUGUGUUUGUGUGUUAGGGACACUGUGAAAUCCAAAAAUGAAUUCAUAAUUCUGACAAGGACCACAUCUCACUUGACUCUGGAGACCCCUGGACAGUUGCUUUCGGUGAAUACUUGUUUAAUGUGGGAAGAAAUGAGAGAUACUGACUUUUAGUUCCAUGUUUGCUCUUGGGCUUAGCAGAGAAACGCUGAAGGACAAUGAAAUGGAUAUGAAAUUCCCCGCGGAUCUGCCCCAAUUACACGCAAACUUUCCUUAUUCUCUCAACCUGGACUUUACCCUGAGCCUGCAUUGGGCAUAAUCUUACCCAACACCUCUCUCUUAGUUCCCUACUUGUAUUCUAAUUCGUGUACAUUUCCCCCUCUGGUCUUCAAUUGCAAGCUCUUGGGCGUGGGAGAUCUCUCUUUGUCAUACUCGGAGUGAGAUGGAGCCCGGAACACUUUGAUGACAGCUGUUCGAUCACCUGCUCUUCCUGGCUGGACCCGAGAUUGCUGUGGUUCCGGUGCAGCCUGUUCUGUGUAGUGUCUGACACGCAGCUACUGCUUGUGAGCAUCUAUUAAAUGUGCCAGAAGAUGGACAGUGGGCUGCUCAUCUCUGUGGCUCCCCUUCCCUCCGGGAAAGACAGGCUCAGCAUAGCCGUCUGGAGUCCUCAGCUGAAGUCUGCAUGUGUCUUCUCUUUAUUUUGUGUUGUGCCUGCAAGUUGGUGACAACAAAGACUACAAACCCACCGAUAUUCUCCCGACGAUCUGUGCAAAGCCCAGAAAUCGAGUCGUCCCCCCACCCCAAGUAAAACACAGGUUAAACUUGAUUCCAUGUUUCCACAGGUGCAGGAUUUGUGCAAAUCCUGUUUGUAUAUUUGUGUCAUUUGCAAGAAGCAAAGGUGUUAGGAACACGUGCAAAUCACUACAGAGUUCUUGGCUACCUUUCCGUCAGUUCCCUUCUCCCUCAAUGCCUGGAUCUAUACCAUCUAUGCUUUUCUUCUUUUUUUUCUCUGGAAUUUGAGCAAACUGAGCUAUCACCGAUUUAAUAUUUGGGGAGUUUUAAAAAAACUUUGAAAUUUUGAAAUACAAGAAGUUACAAAAUAGUACAUAGAGUCCCAUGAACCCUUCACCCAGCUUCCUUUAAUGGUGACAUCUUAUAUGACUGUAGUAAAAUAGCAAAACCAGGAAAUUGACGUUGGUACAAGACUGUUAACUAGGCUGCAGAAUAUCUGAGUUUUUAAAAGCACACAGAUUCUGAAGUCAUAAAGUAAUACUUUUAAACACAAAUAACCUAUGUCUUCAUAUAGGGUGAGGAGGUUGACAGGGAGUGUAAAAUGCUCUCAAAGCAGGAGCCUGGUGUGACGCUAGGUGUGAAACACCCAGGGGCAGUUUUAAUAGCGUGGUCGGUCCCAAGGUCAGGGGCGUACACUCAGAAGAGGAAAGGCCUGCAGGAAGUGGAGGACCGCGGACUGGGCAGAAGGAAAGGAAACUUGCUGGUUCAGUAGGACUUCAGUUGUGACGAUUCACCCAGAGCCAGGUCGUGGCCACGUUUAACUGUCCUGAUACUCUCGUAACGAGAUGAGUAAGUCCCCUCAUUUGGAGAAAAGUGGACAUGACAUUUGUAGAAGAGGAAUGAUUUUUUAAAAAUAGACUUUAUUUUUUAGGACAGUUUUAGGUUCACAGCAAAAUUGAGAGGAAAAUAUAGAGAUUUCCCAUGUACCCCCUGCCCCUACUCAUGCACAGCCUCCCCGGUUAUCAAUGUCACUCGCCAGAUGGUACAUUUUUACUAAGGGUGAACCUACACGGACACAUCAUUGUCACCCAAAGUCCAUAGUUUACCGUGGGUUCACUCUUGGUGUUGUAUAUUUAAUGGGUUUGGACAAAUGUAUAAAGACAUGUAUCCAUCAUUGUAAGAUCAUACAGAGCAGAUUCACUGCCCUAAACAUCCUCCUAUUCAUCCCUCUUUCCCCCCAACCCCUGGCAACCAUUCAUCUUUUUACUGUAGUUGUACCUUUUCAGAGUGUCAUAGGGUUGGAAUCAUACAGUGUGUACCCGUUUCAGAUCGGCUUCUUCCACUUAGGAAUAGGUACUGACCGCUCUUCCAUGUCUUUACCGUGGCUGGCAGCUCACUUCUUUUGGGCACUGAAUAAUAUCCCGUUGUCUGGAGGUACCACAGGUUAUUUAUCGUUUCACCUACUGAUAGACAUCUUGGCUGCUUCCACGUUUUGGUGAUUAUGAAUAAAGCUGCUAUAAACCUCUGUGUGC